UCAAUUUAAAUAGUUAAAUAAGCUUUAAAUAUCAAAUUUAUUAAAAUUUCCAUAAAAUCCAUCAAAAUUCACUUGCAAUUUACAAAAGGAUCCGAUUUUACACUCGCAUGAUGCAUGCCUUACUAACGUAGAGAGGUUUGGUUUUGACUGAGUCAGAGAGGAUGGAUAAUCAUGGUAGACGAAUUGCUUUAUGACAAAGUCAAUUUAAUUUUCCAAUUUGUGACACAAUAAAUUCUUAAGGGGCCUAUUUUUUUUAACUCUUGAUUUGAAAUGGAGACGGACAUAUCAUCCCAAAGUGGCAGAAGAUUAAAAUCGAUUCAUGAAGCAGCUGUGCUGAUUUGUUCAAAUGUUUCAAGAUGGGUAAAUAAAAAUGAACAUUGUUGGGUUUGA